rnacentral:rRNA from 1 species
GAUGAACGCUGGCGGCGUGCCUAAUACAUGCAAGUCGAGCGAAUGGAUUAAGAGCUUGCUCUUAUGAAGUUAGCGGCGGACGGGUGAGUAACACGUGGGUAACCUGCCCAUAAGACUGGGAUAACUCCGGGAAACCGGGGCUAAUACCGGAUAACAUUUUGAACCGCAUGGUUCGAAAUUGAAAGGCGGCUUCGACUGUCACUUAUGGAUGGACCCGCGUCGCAUUAGCUAGUUGGUGAGGUAACGGCUCACCAAGGCAACGAUGCGUAGCCGACCGUGGAGGGUGAUCGGCAACACUGGGACUGAGACACGGCCCAGACUACUACGGGAGGCAGCAGUAGGGAAUCUUCCGCAAUGGACGAAAGUCUGACGGAGCAACGCCGCGUGAGUGAUGAAGGCUUUCGGGUCGUAAAACUCUGUUGUUAGGGAAGAACAAGUGCUAGUUGAAUAAGCUGACACCUUGACGGUACCUAACCAGAAAGCCACGGCUAACUACGUGCCAGCCGCCGCAGUAA